rnacentral:lncRNA from 1 species
AAGGUAAGUUGUGUGUUUAUUUUCUGCAGAGGUAACAAAACCAUUGCCUGUAGCACUUUAGCUAGUUGUAAUUCUGAUCACCACCUGAUCUUUCUGAAACUGGGAGAUUUGGUUAAGAGGAGGAAUUCUUUGUCUAAUUUUUUGGCUAUGUGGAAUGAAAGAAAAGACUGCCAGAAUAUUGUUCAACAAAUCCGGAGUACUUCUGUUGCGGGUUGUCCUAUGCUUGGCUUGCAGAAAAAGCUGAAGGCACUCAAAACAGCAUUGAUUGAGAGGAAUAAAAGUACUGUUGGAAAUGUUUCUGUGCAGGUUGCUCAGUUGCAAGAAAAUCUAAAAUUCUUACAGCAGAAUAUGCUGUAGUUUGGGGAGUCGGAUAGAAAGUGUGAAAAAAAAAACAAUCCAACAAAAUAUAAGCCAGGCUUUGCAUAUGGAGGAAUUUUUUUGAUGGAAAAAGGAAGUCUAAAGUGAUGGUUCACUGAUGUGGUUUUAGAGAAGCCUGAACAUAUUGAGGAACACAUUUAGAGAAGCUUUAUAAUGCUAAUUCACAGAUUGAUCAUGAUUCCAAAUCUUGUUACCAAGAAAGAAAAUCAAAUACUUACUGCUCUUCCAUCUUUAGAAGAGGUAAAAGCUGCUAUCUUCGGUAUAAAUAAACAUAGUGCACCAUCCUAGGAUGCUUUUGGUGGUCUUUUCUAUAAAAAAUAUUGUCACAACAUAGAUAGGGAUGUUUAUGAGGCGGUCAUACAAUUCUUCACGAAAAGUUGGAUCCAUACAUGUAAGAAUUCCAAUAUUCUUAAUCUCAUUCCUAAAAUUAACAAUGUUUCUAUAAUAUCGGAUUUUUGGCCUAUUGCUUUGGCCAACGUUAGAUAUAAAAUUAUUUCUAAAAUCUUGGCUGAUAGAUUGUCUUCUGUUGCUACUAGAAUUGUCUCCAAAAAUCAAAACGGUUUUUUUAAAGGUAGGGAUAUUAAGAACUGCAUCAUUGUUGCUUCUAAAGCUGUCAAUUUGCUGAAUAAAAAAGCUUUUGGCAGUUAUGUGGUUCUCAAAGUUGAUACUAAAAGAGUUUUUGGUACUUUGAAUUGGGGAUAUCUUCUUUCUGUCUUAAAUGAUUCUGAGUUUAAUGAUAGGUUCUGUUAUUGGGUUAAAACUAUUCUAGAUUCUGCUAGCCUGUAUAUGAAUAAACGGGAGUUAUGUUGGUUUCUUUAAAUGUUAUAAGGUUGUCAGACAAGGACUUCCUCUUUCUCCUUUACUGUUAUGCCUUGCUGAAGAGGGGCUGGGAUCACAAUCUGUCAGCCAUGGGAUCUCUGCUGCAAAUGAUUAGCAAGAAAGGUAAGUUGUGUGUUUAUUUUCUGCAGAGGUAACAAAACCAUUGCUUGUAGCACUUUAGGUAGUUGUUAUUCUGAUCACCACCUGAUCUUUCUGAAAAUGGGAGAUUUGGUUAUGUGGAGGAAUUCUGUCUAAUUUUUUGGCUAUGUGGAAUGAAAGAAAAGACUGCCAGAAUAUUGUUCAAUAAAUCCAGAGUACUUCUGUUGCUGGUUUUCCUAUGCUUGCCUUGCAGAAAAAGCUUAAGGCACUCAAAGCAGCAUUGAUUGAGUGAAAUAAAAGUACUGUUUGAAAUGUUUAUGUGCAGGUUG